rnacentral:rRNA from 1 species
CCUACGGGAGGCAGCAGUAGGGAAUUUUCGUCAAUGGGCGCAAGCCUGAACGAGCGAUGCCGCGUGAGUGAAGAAGGCCUUCGGGUCGUAAAGCUCUGUUGCGGGGGAAAAAAGGCAGCAUCAGGAAAUGGGUGCUGACUGAUGGUGCCCCGCCAGAAAGUCACGGCUAACUACGUGCCAGCAGCCGCGGUAAUAGGUAGGUGGCGAGCGUUAACCGGAAUGGUUGGGCGGAAAGGGUGCGCAGGCGGUCCUGCAAGUCUGGAGUGAACCGAAUGAGCGAAACUCAGGCAUGCGUUUGGAAACGGGGGACUGGAAAGCAGGAGAGGGCGGUGGAACGUCAUGUGUAGCGGUAAAAUGCGUAGAUAUAUGGAAGAACACCAGUGGCGAAGGCGGCCGCCUGGCCUGUUGCUGACGCUGAGGCACGAAAGCGUGGGGAGCAAAUAGGAUUAGAUACCCUAGUAGUC